GGGGGUAUAGCUCAGGAGUAGACCCCUCGCUUCGCAUGCCAGAAGUCUGAGGUUCGAUUCCCCAUACCUCCA
rnacentral:tRNA from 1 species